UACGUAGGGUGCAAGCGUUAAUCGGAAUUACUGGGCGUAAAGCGUGCGCAGGCGGCUUUGCAAGACAGAUGUGAAAUCCCCCGGGCUUAACCUGGGAACUGCAUUUGUGACUGCAUGGCUAGAGUGCGGCAGAGGGGGAUGGAAUUCCGCGUGUAGCAGUGAAAUGCGUAGAUAUGCGGAGGAACACCGAUGGCGAAGGCAAUCCCCCUGGGCCUGCACUGACGCUCAUGCACGAAAGCGUGGGGAGCAAACAGG
rnacentral:rRNA from 1 species